rnacentral:misc_RNA from 1 species
GAUGAAGAACGUAGCGAAAUGCGAUAAGUAAUGUGAAUUGCAGAAUUCAGUGAAUCAUCGAAUCUUUGAACGCACCUUGCGCCCUUUGGCUAUUCCGAAGGGCAUGCCUGUUUGAGUAUCAUGAACACCUCAACUCUCAUGGUUUGCCAUGAUGAGCUUGGACUUUGGGGGUCUUGCCGGCCUAUGGGUCGGCUCCUCUCAAAUUAAUCAGCUUGCCAGUGUUUGGUGGCAUCACAGGUGUGAUAACUAUCUACGCUUGUGGUUUUCCAUCAGGUAACCUUCAGUGAUGGAGGUUCGCUGGGGCUCAUAAAUGUCUCUCCUCAGUGAGGACAGCUUUUUUGAACGUUUGAUCUCAAAUCAGGUAGGACUACCCGCUGAACUUAAGCAUAUCAAUAAGCGGAGG